rnacentral:lncRNA from 1 species
AGCCCUGAGCGCUGACUCUGCAGGCUCCUUCCCAAGCACUCUGUUUACAAUGCCACCCAUUUAAUCCCUGAGCCCUAGCUGCUCCAGUGGGAAAAAAACCCUGUAGAAGGUCUUUAGGAGGGCUCUGUCUUCCCUAACUGGCUUGACAGAGGUGACCAAGGGAUAAAAGCAUUGAUGGAUGCUGUGUGAAGGUGAAGCACACAGCACCUGUUAAGAAGGCUGACUCAUUGAAAGGAACUGUGUUGAAAAGAGUGUGCUCUUGUUAAAGCUGAUGGUAAAUGUGUUUGAGGCAGUCAAAAGAAUCACACAUCCUCUUUCACCUGGCCUUCAGACAAUUCUCAAAUUGGAGAUACUUGGGAAAAUAUUUUGAGGUUCUUCUGAACAUAUUUUU